AUUGAACGCUGGCGGAAUGCUUUACACAUGCAAGUCGAGCGGCAGCGCGGGGGCAACCCUGGCGGCGAGCGGCGAACGGGUGAGUAAUACAUCGGAACGUGUCCUUCAAGUGGGGGAUAGCUCGGCGAAAGCCGGAUUAAUACCGCAUAAGCUCUGAGGAGGAAAGCGGGGGACUGGUAACGGCCUCGCGCUGUUGGAGCGGCCGAUGUCAGAUUAGCUAGUUGGGGGGUAAAGGCCCACCAAGGCGACGAUCCGUAGCUGGUCUGAGAGGAUGAUCAGCCACACUGGAACUGAGACACGGUCCAGACUCCUACGGGAGGCAGCAGUGGGGAAUUUUGGACAAUGGGGCAACCCUGAUCCAGCCAUUCCGCGUGAGUGAAGAAGGCCU
rnacentral:rRNA from 1 species